AUUGAACGCUGGCGGCAGGCCUAACACAUGCAAGUCGAGCGGAUGAAGGGAGCUUGCUCCUGGAUUCAGCGGCGGACGGGUGAGUAAUGCCUAGGAAUCUGCCUGGUAGUGGGGGAUAACGUCCGGAAACGGGCGCUAAUACCGCAUACGUCCUGAGGGAGAAAGUGGGGGAUCUUCGGACCUCACGCUAUCAGAUGAGCCUAGGUCGGAUUAGUUAGUCUGUGGGGUAAAGGCCUACCAAGGCGACGAUCCGUAACUGGUCUGAGAGGAUGAUCAGUCACACUUGAACUGAGACAAGGUCCAGACUCCUACGUGAUGCAGCAGUGGGGAAUAUUGGCCAAUGGGCGAAAGCCUGAUCCAGCCAUGCCGCGUGUGUGAAGAAGGUCUUCGGAUUGUAAAGCACUUUUAGUUGGGAGGAAGGGCAGUAAGUUAAUACCUUGCUGUUUUGACGUUACCAACAGAAUAAGCACCGGCUAACUUCGUG
rnacentral:rRNA from 1 species